UUCAUUUCUUCUCUCUACAAUAUUUACCAACACUUCCUCUUAUUACUCUUCACUAACAUAUCAAAACAUACCAUACUUAAGGUUUUGGUAACAUUUACAAAACAUACCAAAAUAUCACUUAACAACUUAGAUACUUUCAAAAUGACCAAAAGACAUCCUAGGUACAAUGCCAUUUUCCAAAAAGAUAGAAACUUCACCAAUUUGAGUUUGGGGAUCGGCUUGUAUGCUGAGUCCUUAUACUUUUGUACCUAGCCUGCGCACGGAAACAAACCGUACGCUGAGAAUACUCUCAGUGGUAUUUCUAUAAACAAUAGCUUAAUCAACUUUAAAACAUGGUAAUUCAAACACAUUAUUGCUAUUAUUCAAUAUCAAUCAGUACUUUAAUAACCUUUACUUUAUUUACCCUUAUUAACAUAACUCGGACACUGACGGAUACACGGAUCCAACCCACACUCCGGGAUAAGCACAUAGUGCUUCAUCGGAAUAAAUCCGGAACUUUAACAUUAUAGUACACAAAGUACUUCAUCGGAACAAAUCCGAAACUUUAACAGUAGUCGACACAUAGUGUCUCAUCGACUCAAUGUCGGAAUAUCCCAAUACUUCCAAUUCCUAUGACAUGUCAACUAUAUCCGAC
rnacentral:lncRNA from 1 species